rnacentral:rRNA from 1 species
AGUGAACGCUGGCGGUAGGCCUAACACAUGCAAGUCGAACGGCAGCACAGUAAGAGCUUGCUCUUACGGGUGGCGAGUGGCGGACGGGUGAGGAAUACAUCGGAAUCUACUUUUUCGUGGGGGAUAACGUAGGGAAACUUACGCUAAUACCGCAUACGACCUACGGGUGAAAGCAGGGGAUCUUCGGACCUUGCGCGAUUGAAUGAGCCGAUGUCGGAUUAGCUAGUUGGCGGGGUAAAGGCCCACCAAGGCGACGAUCCGUAGCUGGUCUGAGAGGAUGAUCAGCCACACUGGAACUGAGACACGGUCCAGACUCCUACGGGAGGCAGCAGUGGGGAAUAUUGGACAAAGGGCGCAUGCCUGAUCCAGCCAUACCGCGUGGGUGAAGAAGGCCUUCGGGUUGUAAAGCCCUUUUGUUGGGAAAGAAAAGCAGCAGGUUAAUACCCCGCUGUUCUGACGGUACCCAAAGAAUAAGCACCGGCUAACUUCGUG